rnacentral:lncRNA from 1 species
CCUAGACGAGGCUCAGGCUGAAGACGGGGCUUCGUCACGCGGGGGCCUGAAGGAAGUGCAGGAAAAGUUUGACCUCCUGAAACGGAAAAAGUCGACCCAGACGGAGGACAGUGAAGCGACGAAACGUCUGGAGGAGAUGAAGAAAGAGGCGGAGAUACUGAAGAGGGAGGUGGAGGACAAGCUGCAGCAGAUAGAAGACCUGGAGAAGCGGAUCGAGAAGCUGAACAAAAAUGGCCAGGACAAAGCGGCAGAAGUGGAGAAGCUGCUGAAACAGGCGGAUUCUCUGAGGAACCACAUCAGCCGGCGAGCGGAGGAGUACAUCAAGUGCACAUGAGACGAUACUUCAGUCGUCUUUUUACCUUUACUGCAGCAGCGUCUGUGGACUGACCUCGAACUACAAACCAGAAACAGUAUAUUCCUCUAUGAUUAACACGGGCAGAUCGUGUGAAUGUUUUCUUCUCACACUCGUUAUUUUGUGUUUCAGAAGGGCCUUUAAGGAGAGACACUGUAGGCAAACGUCUAAAUUUAGCAAACAACAACAAAUUCAUCUUCACUACAAGGUGGGAAUGGCUGCACUGAUUCAAUGUUUCUUCGUAGAUUUAAGUUGGAGAUGAUAAAUUCAAGCGCCAUUUUUGCAGAACCCAUUUUUCCACACGUUGCGGCAACAACAUGUCUCUAUAAGUAGGACUGGAACCAGUACUUUAACCUCUUAACCCCCAAAAUGCCGAACUGCGUUUUCUCCAGUUUGGCUUUACCCAAAUCUUAAAGCUUCUAAGACCUGCCCAACUGGGUAACACUUUACAUGACGACCCGGUAACUGCCCGGUAAACCGCCUUAACCGAGCACAUUAACGUAGUAGUUAAAAGUAACUCAGCCCAAUAACUGCUAGGUAAUUGUCUAGUAAUUACUAGUAAUAAAUAUCAAUAAAAGUUGUAGUUCUUGGGUAGUUGAAGUAGUCGUAGUAGUCGUUAAUAGUAACUCUAUUGGCUUUGCUCUGCCCAAUCCCAUCAGACCUUGGAAGCUAAGCAGGGAAGGGCCUGGGCGGUACUUGGAUGGGAGACCGUUUGGGAACACCAGGAAGCCUAGCGAAUGUAGUGAGUGAGUGAGUGGUUGGUGGUGGUCGGAGGGACUGAUGGCGCAGACUGGUUGCCUCGCUUCCGUCAGUCUACCCCAGGGCAGCUGUGGCUACAAUAGUAGCUUACCACCACCAAGUAUGGAGUGAAUGAAUAAUGCAAUGUAAAGCGUCUUUGAUGAGUGUCCAGAAAAGCG